ACAGAAGCCCCGCUCCGGCUCCGGCUCCGGCUGGGUGCUGCUGGUGCUGCUGGUGGUGGAGGAGGUGGAGGAGGAGAAAAAACCACGCAGAAAAACAAAUCAAGCGCACUCACAAGUGGAUGUAUUAAUACUCACAGGAAACAGACAGGCCCACUGACGUCAACGGGGGUCCCGUCUCCGCCUCUCAGCCGCGGGGGUGUCCUCGUCCUGCAGCGGGGGGAUCCCGACGGCCGGAGCCACAGCCGCAGCGACCGAGUGACUCCUCGUCCUGACACCGAGGAGACGGUUUCAGCCUUCAGGAUCCGUGUUCCUGAAGGGUCCCCCCCCCGACCAACAGUUAUAUACACAGGCAACAAAACGAGGUGCUUGCAGCUUACGUGAGAUGCAGACCAACCACAGCCACCAGAGCGGACACACUCUUGACAUCAUCCUCCAAAAUCUUCAUUUACACAGUAUUACUUUAAUUAUAACCGCAGGCAUCUUCUUCAUCUCUGUUUUUAUUUGCUGAAUAUUGUCAUUGAUCCUCCAUUGUUACCACUACAUGUUCUUUUCUUUAUACAAGAUCGUAAUUAAAUUGGCGUUUUUGGGCCCGUAUAAAUUAAAUUACUUGACCCCUCACACUUUGAAAUAUCCAAGCAUCAACCUACAGACCUAAUAAAAAAGGUCUUUUUGGACAUCCCCAAACUCCCUGCCUUGUCAGUUAAGACUUUUGUCAGUGCGGUCAUAUAAUGGUCAUAUUAAAAAAGAAGGGGACUUCCUCAACUGCCCCCACAGCAGUGUUAGUGUAUGGCAGCGAGGGGCUAUUAAUAUCCUGGAGUGGUUACAGAAAAUAAGCACAGCUGCCCAGCAGAUCUGUCCUCCUGAACAAUAGCCUCUUAUGUGAAGGGAAGGCACUGCUGUUUGUGUCCUCUGCUAACCGAUACCCCGUUCAAGGAGGUUCUUGUGCCGCUUUUAUAUCUUUGUCUCUCAGUUCGUAUCAUAAAUAGAUAUUUAUUGAACGCGACCUUCCAAAGAAAGACAGUAUUCAUAAGGGAAUGCCUGAGUGUCCUAUUUCUCUUGGCACACAGCGAGGCAUUUGGAUAAAGAUUGAUGUUGCUGAAGUAUUUAUAGGGUGGCGUCCUUUUUUUUUUAUCCUUUCUUUUCUCUGUACGCUUCCUUUUGCUGAGGAUAUGCAAAAAAGAAACCGGACGCAUAAACACCCUAAAAUAAAUACAGUAUAAUUGUUUUGGCACCCCUGGCUGGCCCCGUGUAGAUAACCUCUACCUUAUAUCACACUGGACAGUUUUCCAUUUAAACACCAUUAGAGGAUCCAGUAGCAGAGUGCAAACAGCCGCUCUCCUCCCUAACAAACUAUAUCUCAGGGUUUUCAAUUAGAGGGACCACGCGUGGCAGUAAAAGGUGAAUUAUGAGGCAGUAAUGUCCACUGCUCUCAGGGUAAUUUGUAUCCAUAAAGGGCUUUUUCAUCAUUAAUGUAACACACACACACACACACACAGGCUUCUUACAGUCUAUUUUACUGUAUAUUUUAUUAAUAUUUCCUUUAUUCUUUGUACUAUAUUUCCAUAUGCUGCUGAGGGAGAUCAAUAAAGGAACAUUAUAUCUCA